rnacentral:rRNA from 1 species
GAUGAAUGCUGGCGGCGUGCCUAACACAUGCAAGUCGAGCGGCAGCGCAGGUAGUUUACUACCUGGCGGCGAGCGGCGGACGGCUGAGUAACGCGUGGGAACAUGCCCCAAAGUGAGGAAUAACUGCCCGAAAGGGUGGCUAAUGCCGCAUAUGGUCUUCGGAUUAAAGGAUUUAUCCGCUUUGGGAGUGGCCUGCGUACGAUUAGAUUGUUGGUGAGGUAAUGGCUCACCAAGUCGACGAUCGUUAACUGGUCUGAGAGGAUGAUCAGUCAGACUGGAACUGAGACACGGUCCAGACUCCUACGGGAGGCAGCAGUGAGGAAUCUUCCACAAUGGGCGAAAGCCUGAUGGAGCAACGCCGCGUGCAGGAUGAAGGCCUUCGGGUUGUAAACUGCUUUUAUAAGUGAAGAAUAUGACGGUAACUUAUGAAUAAGCACCGGCUAACUACGUGCCAGCAGCCGCGGUAA